UACGUAGGGUGCGAGCGUUGUCCGGAAUUAUUGGGGCGUAAAGGGCUCGUAGGCGGUUUGUUGCGUCGGCUGUGAAAUCCCCGAGGCUCAACCUCGGGUCUGCAGUCGAUACGAGCAAACUAGAGUGUUGCAGGGGAGACUGGAAUUCCUGGUGUAGCGGUGAAAUGCGCAGAUAUCAGGAGGAACACCGGUGGCGAAGGCGGGUCUCGUGGGCAACAACUGA
rnacentral:rRNA from 1 species